CAAGACCACCAGCUCCUUGCUCUAAGUAAUGCUUCUUACUUCAAUUAUGUAGAUUCAAGGGCCGCUUUGCCUCAGAUGAUUGAUGAAGAGAGUUGCAAGAAGGCCUGCUUGCAGAACUGCUCCUGCAAGGCUGCAUUCUUUCAGUACGGUGGUAAUGACACUUCUCAAGGCUCAUGUUACCUUCCAACACAAAUCUUUUCGUUGCAAGUAAACCAGUGGGAAGUAACUCAUUAUAGUUCUUCUGCAUACCUUAAGGUGCAGAUCACACAGCCACCCCCAAGUCCUAGUCCCUCGAAAUCGAAUGGUACAGCAAAUAGGUCGACACCCAAAGGAAGUACAAGUAUUACUGCAG
rnacentral:lncRNA from 1 species